UACGUAGGCAGCGAGCGUUGUUCGGAGUUACUGGGCGUAAAGGGCCAGUAGGCGGCCAACUAAGUCGGAUGUGAAAUCCCCAGGCUUAACCUGGGAACUGCAUCCGAUACUGGAUGGCUUGAAUUCGGGAGAGGGAUGCAGAAUUCCAGGUGUAGCGGUGAAAUGCGUAGAUAUCUGGAGGAAUACCGGUGGCGAAGGCGGCAUCCUGGACCGACAUUGACGCUGAACGGCGAAAGCUAGGGGAGCAAACGGG
rnacentral:rRNA from 1 species